AUUGAACGCUGGCGGCAGGCCUAACACAUGCAAGUCGAACGAGUGGCGGACGGGUGAGUAAUGUCUGGGAAACUGCCUGAUGGAGGGGGAUAACUACUGGAAAAGGUAGCUAAUACCGCAUACCAUCGGAUGUGCCCAGAUGGGAUUAGCUAGUAGGUGGGGUAAAGGCGCACCAAGGCGACGAUCCCUAGCUGGUCUGAGAGGAUGACCAGCCAAACUGGAACGUAGACACUUUCCAGACUCCUACGGGAGGCAGCAUUGGGGAAUAUGGCACAAUGGGCGCAAGCCUGAUGCAGCCAUGCCGCGUGUAUGAAGAAGGCCUUCGGGUUGUAAAGUACUUUCAGCGGGGAGGCGUUACCCGCAGAAGAAGCACCGGCUAACUCCGUGCCAGCAGCCGCGGUAAUAC
rnacentral:rRNA from 1 species